rnacentral:lncRNA from 1 species
GUGAUCCAGCAGAGGGCCCUCACUUGACCAUGCUGGCGCUCUGAUCUCAGACUUCCAGCCUCCAGAACUUCCUGUGAAGAGGCCCACAUGUCAAGGAACUGAGCCUCUGGCCGAAAGCCAGCAAGAAACCGAAACCUGCCAGCAACAAGAGUGAGCUUGGAAGCCAACUGUGCAGCCCCAGCUGGGCUUUGAGAUGACUGCAACCCCAGCCCACAGCUUGCCUGAAACCUCUCGAGAGGCCCUGAGCCAGAACCACCCAGCUGAGCCACUCCCUGAUUCCUGACCUCAGAAACUAUGUGAGGUCAUAGAUGUUUGCUGUUUAAGCUGCUGCAUUUUGAAGGAAUCUGUUACACAGCAAUAGAAAACUAAUACAUGACUUCGGAAUCGAUGCACUAAUACGGCAGCAUCACAAGAUGGAGAGGACUGGGGUCUCAGAGUGGAAGACAAUCUCUGCUGACAUCACCACUUUGUAAAUAUCAACAAUGUGCAUGCCAAGACAGCAGCCAAAGGAAGAGGAAGCCCAGUACUGGCUAUAGAAGCAAGCUAGAGAAAGUAGAGCCAAAACAAUCAGGCUGCAAGAAGGAAAGACGACAGAAACAAUGAAGCUGGCCCUCUACAGAGCAAUUGAACAGAGUCAUUUUUGGAACUGUUGGUGGGAGGCUGGAGCGAUAGAAUGCAAAUAGCUGCUUCUCCUUACUUCUAUGAGCCUCUGUUUCCUCGUCGAAAAACAAGGGAAAGUCUGAUUGGGCAGUUCUCCUUAGAGGCUGUCCUCAAGACAGUGACUCAGGAUCUGGGCUGCUUCUGUAUUACGGCUCUGCCAUCUCCUAGUGCCUCCAUGGACUCCUCUGCUUGGUCAUCACUCAGCCAUCAAGUAAAGAGAGAGACAGCAAGGAGGAUCACCCAGGAUGUUUCAUAGACAAGUCUGGAAGUGGUGUACAUUACUUCCCUCCACAUGCCAUUGCCCAGAACAUGGUCAACUAACACCAGCCUAACAGCAAGCAGGACUGGGACACGAGUCUUAUCCAGAAAGAGGAAGUGGAAUUGACUCACUUUUGUACACCAUCUUCAUGCAAAUGGUGGAGCCCUCCUCAACUGGAACUGCCCUCAAUAAGUCAUAAUGUGGACUUUGACCUCUGACCACAUUUGGAAAGUGACCAAAUCAAGACAGAAAAAUCUAACUUGCCAAAGACCACAUAGGAAGUUCUUGGCAAAGUCAGAUGAGAAAACAGAGUUCAUGAACUUCAAGAGCCAACAUUUUUAACCACUGCCUCUGUUCCUUGUUUUGGGAACCCUUUUCCAAUAAAAAAAAAAGUAGAAAA